UACCAGCUCUCCGAGUGGUGUGGAUGUUUAUUGGGCCUAAAGCAUCCGUAGCUGGCUGGGCAAGUCCCCUGUUAAAUCCACCGAUUUAAUCGUUGGUGUGCGGGGGAUACUGUUCGGCUAGGGGACGGGAGAGGCCGACGGUAUUUUCGGGGUAGGGGUGAAAUCCUAUGAUCCCGGGAAGACCACCAGUGGCGAAGGCUGUCGGCUAGAACGCGCCAGACGGUGAGGGAUGAAAGCUGGGGGAGCGAACCGGAUUAGAUACCCGGGUAGUCCCAGCUGUAAACGAUGCAGGCUAGGUGUUUGGGCGGCCACGUGCCGCUCUAGUGCCGCAGAGAAGUCGUUAAGCCUGCCGCCUGGGGAGUACGGCCGCCAGGCUGAAACUUAAAGGAUUAGCGGGGAGCACCACAAGGGGUGAAGCUUGCGGUUU
rnacentral:rRNA from 1 species